GAUGAACGCUAGCUACAGGCUUAACACAUGCAAGUCGAGGGGCAGCAUGGUCUUAGCUUGCUAAGGCCGAUGGCGACCGGCGCACGGGUGAGUAACACGUAUCCAACCUGCCGUCUACUCUUGGACAGCCUUCUGAAAGGAAGAUUAAUACAAGAUGGCAUCAUGAGUCCGCAUGUUCACAUGAUUAAAGGUAUUCCGGUAGACGAUGGGGAUGCGUUCCAUUAGAUAGUAGGCGGGGUAACGGCCCACCUAGUCUUCGAUGGAUAGGGGUUCUGAGAGGAAGGUCCCCCACAUUGGAACUGAGACACGGUCCAAACUCCUACGGGAGGCAGCAGUGAGGAAUAUUGGUCAAUGGGCGAGAGCCUGAACCAGCCAAGUAGCGUGAAGGAUGACUGCCCUAUGGGUUGUAAACUUCUUUUAUAAAGGAAUAAAGUCGGGUAUGCAUACCCGUUUGCAUGUACUUUAUGAAUAAGGAUCGGCUAACUCCGUGCCAGCAGCCGCGGUAAUACGGAGGAUCCGAGCGUUAUCCGGAUUUAUUGGGUUUAAAGGGAGCGUAGAUGGAUGUUUAAGUCAGUUGUGAAAGUUUGCGGCUCAACCGUAAAAUUGCAGUUGAUACUGGAUAUCUUGAGUGCAGUUGAGGCAGGCGGAAUUCGUGGUGUAGCGGUGAAAUGCUUAGAUAUCACGAAGAACUCCGAUUGCGAAGGCAGCCUGCUAAGCUGCAACUGACAUUGAGGCUCGAAAGUGUGGGUAUCAAACAGGAUUAGAUACCCUGGUAGUCCACACGGUAAACGAUGAAUACUCGCUGUUUGUGAUAUACGGCAAGCGGCCAAGCGAAAGCGUUAAGUAUUCCACCUGGGGAGUACGCCGGCAACGGUGAAACUCAAAGGAAUUGACGGGGGCCCGCACAAGCGGAGGAACAUGUGGUUUAAUUCGAUGAUACGCGAGGAACCUUACCCGGGCUUAAAUUGCAGAUGAAUUACGGUGAAAGCCGUAAGCCGCAAGGCAUCUGUGAAGGUGCUGCAUGGUUGUCGUCAGCUCGUGCCGUGAGGUGUCGGCUUAAGUGCCAUAACGAGCGCAACCCUUGUUGUCAGUUACUAACAGGUUCCGCUGAGGACUCUGACAAGACUGCCAUCGUAAGAUGUGAGGAAGGUGGGGAUGACGUCAAAUCAGCACGGCCCUUACGUCCGGGGCUACACACGUGUUACAAUGGGGGGUACAGAGGGCCGCUACCACGCGAGUGGAUGCCAAUCCCCAAAACCUCUCUCAGUUCGGACUGGAGUCUGCAACCCGACUCCACGAAGCUGGAUUCGCUAGUAAUCGCGCAUCAGCCACGGCGCGGUGAAUACGUUCCCGGGCCUUGUACACACCGCCCGUCAAGCCAUGGGAGCCGGGGGUACCUGAAGUGCGUAACCGCGAGGAGCGCCCUAGGGUAAAACUGGUGACUGGGGCUAAGUCGUAACAAGGUAGCCGU
rnacentral:rRNA from 1 species